rnacentral:tRNA from 1 species
GCGUCGGUGGUUCAGUGGUAGAAUACUCGCCUGCCACGCGGGUGACCCGGGUUCGAAUUCCCGGCUGACGCA